GCAUCAGUGGUUUAGUGGUAAGACCCAUCGUUGCCAGCGCAUCAGCAAAAUAUCGAUGGGCCCCGUGUUCGAUUCACGGCUGAUGCA